GUGAUUUCCCAGCUUAUAUACUAAAAUUAGAAAGAUGUGGAGAAGAUUAUCAUGGUCUUGGGCAAGAAUGACAAGCAAAUUUAUGCAGCAUCCAAUAUUUUU
rnacentral:snRNA from 1 species